rnacentral:rRNA from 1 species
UAUACAAAGGUAUUGAAAUAAGAUUUUAAAUGAGUGCUAWGAGARUGAUUAAACAAUUAAAAGCUUUCUUUAAUUGAAUAAUUGAAUUUAAUUUUUUUAGUGCAAAAGCAAAAAUAAAAAUUAGGGACAAGAAGACCCUAUGAAUUUUUUAUUAAAUUUUAUAAAACUUUAUAUAAAAUUUAAUUUAAUUGGGGUGAUGGAAAAAGAAUAAAUAUCUUUUUWUAAAAGAAAAUUGGYUCCGUUCUUAGCGAUUAAAUGAAAAAAAUACUCUAGGGAUAAC